AUUUGAAGGAAAGAUCGAAAAGCAGAAAUGUAAAAAUAAACUUGACUAAUCAGAUAAGCUGACGGGACGGUGUUGUGUAUAUAUGUCAGUGACAAGUUGACGCUGUCGGAAGUGACUUUAGGGAGAGUGACAAAGGGGGAAUUAAAACUCUGAUUGUACAUCGGCUUAAGGAUUUUGGAAAAUAAUAAAAUUAUUAUAAAGGUAAUGGUGAAAUCUCAGCACGGCUAUCGCAUGAAGCUCCAUACGAAAUGUGUCGUGUAGCAAAGUACAAGGGUGGGCUACGAGGGUGGAGUACAACCCUCGUAAUAUAAAGCAUUAUUGAUGCAGAUAUUUAUAGAAUAUAUAUCCGACGCCCGGCAUUAACAUUGCCGUUUUCCUCUGCCAUUUUACCGUUGCGACGCAUAACAUGUAUUCGCCAGGGAAUGACAAGUCGUGAAACUGGAUUUGACAACCCGUUAAUCCAUUAUCAAUUACACCCCUAACUAUGUUCUUGGGUAUACGAAUAAAUUAAAGGAAAGCGUACUGAUCAUUUCAAAGAAAAAAAAGAAUUUUCCAGAUUUCUAAAUUUAACGCAAUGAUAACCCUUAUGGCUUUAUGUUAUACAGAGCGAAUUUUUCACGUGACCUUUUGCUUGUAAAUGAAUCAGCCCUGUUGCAGCUGCAACUGCAAAUUCGUAUGGGAAGGCCAAGUGCACUGAUGAAGCUCAAGGCUGCGAGAGCCGUCGGCUAAUUGCCAACUAAUUUAAGGUAUCCAGUGUACGAAUUCGUCUGGUAACAACAGGAAGGACUACUUGAAUAUAAUGAGUCAUCGUAUAUUAAUUUUAUAUAUUUAGAUAUAUAUAUUUUAAUCCAACCCGUCUUCUUUGGGCCUAUGAAAUAUUUUGAGGUUAUAUUAUAUAAUAAAUUUUUUAUGUAUUGCUUAU